rnacentral:lncRNA from 1 species
AUCAAUUGACUUCAUUUAGUUCAUUUGAUUCAUUUAAUUCAUUUUUUAGGGUUAUCCAUUCGAUUUUGAAUAAAUAAUCAAAUUUCAUUCAAUGCAUUUGACCAUUUUACCCUUCUUAAGGUAAUCUAGUCAAUUUUUGAAUAAACCAUCAAUUUCAUCCUAUGCAUUUGACCAGAUUUCCCUCUUUUAGGGUUUCGGUCUAAGGUUCACUGAAUGACCUAGUCUAAACAUUGCAAUCUCUUUUACACGUCAUUUUUUGUGUCAAUCAAGGCAAGCAAUCCAUUCGGACUUUGUCCUAAUUUUUAGGGCAAAUGUGUCUUUUCACUCCAAUUGGAGGCCAAAUUUUUCAAAUCAUUUUUUUUUCACCCAGUCAACUGAUCGGAUUCAUCAGGUAUUGUAUGGUGCCUACUCUAGAGGAUUGCAUUUUCAUGCUAGGCCUACCUUUGGCACAAAAAGGGUUCCCCCAUAGGACAUGCAUACCGAUUUUGCAGUCUUGUUUACUAACUCGGGUUAUUUUUCUUUUGUUUUUCCCCUCCCCUGCAUUCAUAAAAAAAUGUUUCAAUAAGG